UGGGGAAUUUUGGACAAUGGGCGAAAGCCUGAUCCAGCAAUGCCGCGUGUGUGAAGAAGGCCUUCGGGUUGUAAAGCACUUUUGUCCGGAAAGAAAUCCUUGGCUCUAAUACAGUCGGGGGAUGACGGUACCGGAAGAAUAAGCACCGGCUAACUACGUGCCAGCAGCCGCGGUAAUACGUAGGGUGCAAGCGUUAAUCGGAAUUACUGGGCGUAAAGCGUGCGCAGGCGGUUUGCUAAGACCGAUGUGAAAUCCCCGGGCUCAACCUGGGAACUGCAUUGGUGACUGGCAGGCUAGAGUAUGGCAGAGGGGGGUAGAAUUCCACGUGUAGCAGUGAAAUGCGUAGAGAUGUGGAGGAAUACCGAUGGCGAAGGCAGCCCCUGGGCCAAUACUGACGCUCAUGCACGAAAGCGUGGGGAGCAAACAGGAUUAGAUACCCUGGUAGUCCACGCCCUAAACGAUGUCAACUAGUUGUUGGGGAUUCAUUUCCUUAGUAACGUAGCUAACGCGUGAAGUUGACCGCCUGGGGAGUACGGUCGCAAGAUUAAAACUUAAAUGAAUUGACGGGGUCAUAGCUGUUCCU
rnacentral:rRNA from 1 species